AGCAUCUAAGCACGAAACUUGCCAAGAGAUGAGUUCUCCCAAUCUAAGAGAUUGUAAGGGUUGUUGUAGACUACGACGUAGAUAGGUCUGGUGUGUAAGUGUAGUGAUGCAUUGAGCUAACAGAUACUAAUUGCCCGAGAGGCUUAACUAUACAACGCUCAAG
rnacentral:rRNA from 1 species